UGGGGAAUCUUAGACAAUGGGCGCAAGCCUGAUCUAGCCAUGCCGCGUGGGUGAUGAAGGCCUUAGGGUCGUAAAGCCCUUUCGCCGGGGAAGAUAAUGACGGUACCCGGUAAUGAAACCCCGGCUAACUCCGUGCCAGCAGCCGCGGUAAUACGGAGGGGGUUAGCGUUGUUCGGAAUGACUGGGCGUAAAACGCGCGUAGGCGGAUCGUCAAGUCGGGGUGAAAUCCCGGGCUCAACCCGGAAUGGCCUUNGAGACUGUCGGUCUUGAGUUCGAGAGAGGUGAGUGGAAUUCCGAGUGUAGAGGUGAAAUUCGUAGAUAUUCGGAGGAACACCAGUGGCGAAGGCGGCUCACUGGCUCGACACUGACGCUGAGGUGCGAAAGCGUGGGGAGCAAAACAGGAUUAGAUACCCUGGUAGUCCACGCCGUAAACGAUGAAUGCCAGACGUCGGGGGGCUUGCCCUUCGGUGUCACACCUAACGAUUAAAGCAUUCCGCCUGGGGAGUACGGUCGCAAGAUU
rnacentral:rRNA from 1 species